UACGUAGGGUCCGAGCGUUGUCCGGAAUUACUGGGCGUAAAGAGCUCGUAGGUGGUUUGUCGCGUUGUCCGUGAAAACUCACAGCUUAACUGUGGGCGUGCGGGCGAUACGGGCAGACUGGAGUACUGCAGGGGAGACUGGAAUUCCUGGUGUAGCGGUGGAAUGCGCAGAUAGUCAGGAGGAACACCGGUGGCGAAGGCGGGUCUCUGGGCAGUAACUGACGCUGGAGGAGCGAAAGCCGUGGGAGCGAACAGG
rnacentral:rRNA from 1 species